GAAUCCAGAGGUGUAGAUUCAAGUCCCAGAUCUCCAAUUUGUUGACAAAAAGGGCUCAUGAAAUAAAAAUCAGCUUUUUGCCAGCAGUGGUGGCUGAUGCCUGUAAUCCCAGAACGUUGGAAGGUCAAAACAGGCAGACCACCUGAGGCUAGGAGUUCGAGACCAGCCCGGCCAACAUGGUGAGACCCCACCUCUCCUAAAAAAAUAUGCGAAAAUUAGCCAGGCCCAGUGGCAUGAUCCUGUAGUCCCAGUUACUCGGGAGGCUGAGGCAGGAGAAUGGCUUGAACCUGGGAGGUGGAGAUUGCAGUG
rnacentral:lncRNA from 1 species